UGUGUGUGCAUGUAUAUUAUAUGAACACACGUGUGCAUGCAUGUACAGGCACGUGUGCACGUAUGUGUGUUUGGUGUGUCUAUAUAUGUACGUGUAUAUGGCCACACACAUGGAUACAGGUAUGUAUACACAUGUGCAUGCACACUUGCCCAGACACACAACUGCACACCUCCCUGCCCUGCACCCCGCCUUUGGGCUCUCCAUCAUUGCUGCUGGCUGAUAGGUCUUGAAAGGCCCAGGCUGGUGGGUAUGUCCUGCCUCUCAGGUGGGCAGGAGUGGGAACAGCCUAUCUGGCCUUCUCCAGGUUUCCUCUGUCAGCCUGGAGGAGGGCAAUAAUGAUGCAAUUUCUUACAAUAAUGAUACCUUACAUUGCAUAAUCGCUCGGGUCACUCAAAAUAUUGAAAACAGUAGCACAGAAAGGUUAAAGGGUUCCACAGCAACUCAGCAGCACAGCCAGCACCACGAAGUCGGCCACCGCCCCACACUUUAGUCAGUUGGGUGACCUGGCCAGCCCUGGGAAGACGCCUCAUUCAGCUGAAGCUCAUCCACGUCAGGGGGCUCCUCGGUGUCCAGGAGAUGCUGCCAGCUCCCAGCCCCAGGACGGGUGUGAGGCUGUGGCCCCCGGGGGAACUCCUCCUGCACGAAGCGUCUUGGCUCCUGCCCUGCUACACAGAACACGUCCCUCCCUCAGCCGGUCCCCAAUACUGAGCACCUUAGAGACAGCCACUCUUCGCAGACCUGGUUGCUUGUCUUGCACCAUGUGCAUAUCCUCCUGUGCAUGGAGGAGGAAACCAAGGCUUCCAGCCCCGGAGCUCGCAAACGCAGAGACCCCAGGCUUCCUGUGUGCUCCUGUGCACGGAGGAGGAAACCAAGGCUUCCAGCCCCGGAGCUCGCAAACGCAGAGACCCCAGGCUUCCUGUGUGCUCCUGUGCACGGAGGAGGAAACCAAGGCUUCCAGCCCCGGAGCUCGCAAACCCAGAGACCCCAGGCUCCCUGUGGGCCAGGACCACUGGCCUUUCCCUCCACUGCUUGGGGCGUCCUGCAGUACCGGGCUCAGGGAUGGAACCCGCACGCGGAGCCAGGACGAGCAGGCCACACGGAGGGAAUGCCGACCACGUCCCUGAAGCCACAGUGGUAAGAAGCUCCAUCUCCCACGGCAGAUUGCAGCCGUCAGCGUUGUUAGAUUCAUGCGGACCGGACGAUGCGUCUAAAGGAAAACGGACCCAGGCAGGAACACCAGCGGCCGCCCGAGUGUUGGCAGAAGCAGGCCUGUUGCUGAAUUGUGACGUUUGUAGAAAUCGCUGUUGUAGCCGCUGUUGGCUCCUCUCAAGCUCCUGACAGUGAUCCCAAGAUCUGCCGGGAAGCACCUUCCCCGGCGACUCCUCGGGGACACCGGCUCCAGCUGCAGCCUCAAGUGACCCCUUUGCCGGAGUCCAAGAAAAGAGAAGCUGCUUCCGUGGACUCUUCUGUCCCAGAUGAAGCUGCAGUGGCAGGAAGUGGUAGUUGGCUGCUCCCAGGGUUUAUUUGGUUGGGACAAGAGGUCCCAAAGCUGUCCUUGGGAAGGAGCUUAGGCAG